CAAAGAGGGAAAAACAUGAGGACAUUGUGUGUGUGUGUGUGUGUGUGUGUGUGUUGCUGUAAUGAUGGGAGGGAGGAUGCAAGGCAGGACUUACGGGUCCUAGCCAGCUGUGCUGCACCUGGUCCGUGAGGCAGUGUGGAGUCCACCGAAACGACCCUCAAGCCUGAUGCCAGUUCCAGAAGCCCAGUCGGCAACUCUGCCACCUUACACUCCUCUCCCCGUGGAACUGCCUGGGGGUGCUGGCAUGGGGACAUGAGGGAUGUCUGACAGGAGAAACAAGCAUUUCAAGAGUGUGUGGUUGGCUUCGCUGUCCUUUGGGGGGAGGAACUGGAAUCAGUCAACAGGCAAGCCCGACUCCCAGUUCCAGCCUGAACACUGGUCAGCUGAAGACAACGCUGCCACCUUCAUCUCUUCCCUGCCUGUCCUGCUUACAACAGUUGCAAGAAGUUUAUACCCACAUUAAGCCCCCAGAGGCAGGCUGGCAGCCAGCCUUCGCCACUGGUGCAGAGAACUGAGUCAACCACCCGGUGUUCCUGGCUGCUCCCCCUGAGAAGCUUUCCCACCCUGUUCCCUGAGUCGAGAGUCUUGGCUGGGCACCUGCUGCACUGUGGACGUGCGGACGCGGCCUCCAGAAGGGGGAAGGGAGCCCUGGCUGGCUUCUCUGAGACGUGUUGAGUGGCUUGCCAUUGAAGACUGUUUCCUCACUCAGGCAGCUGCAUGCCCCAAACUUAUUUUGCAACUGGCUUCAAACAAUUUGAAGAAAGGGUCAUGGCUUUCCCUUCAGCAGAGUUUGGGAUCUGAACACUGCGUUGCCCCCAAAUGUCUGCCUCUUGAGAGUUCUCCACCCAGUGGUCCUGCUUGCGUCUUUGGAGGACGGUAGCAGUGCGCUCAGUGGAGGCCACGGGUGCCUCAGAGGGAUUUCUCUUGGACCUCCUGCCCUACCCCAGCUUCGGCGUUGCACUUGGAGAAGGCCCUGGAUAUCUCAGGGUGAUCUUCAUGCUCAUUCCAUGGCUAGAAUGGAAGUGAUUUCCAGGACCACCUUGAGAGCCAUGUGUUGAAGGUGCUGGGGAGAGGAGCAGUGAGCAAACACAAAAUCCCUGCCUGUUUAGAACUGAUCUUCUAGUGGUGGUGGUUGGGGCUGGGAGCAGCUGGACAGUGAAUUACUAAGAAGGGAUGAUCCUUGCCUCCCACCCUGUCACUGAAGACCAGGAGAAGAGUGAUCCCCCGAAAUGCCCUCAGCUCCUGAAAUGCCCACUGUCAACAUUCUUGGUUACAGACAACGGCAACACCUGUUUCAAGAAUAAAAUGGAUCUAUUGAAUAUUUGGGAUCAUUAGGAGUUGAGGGGCAGGGAAAGCAAAUUCCAGGUUAAGUUUCCAGAAAAAGUGCCCCAACCGCACUGUAGAACUGGCCUGAAGAUGAAACCACCAUUGCAGCUACUGAGAACUCAAUGAUAAGAACUUGUCAUUUCUACCCUGUGCACUGCUGCUUCCCAAGAACUGAUGCUACCGUGUCAGCGAAGGGAUUCCCUUGCUGAGCCCAGUUCCUUACACUGCUCACUUCAUUUCUAAAGCAAAAUCUUAUGCAGGUGUGUACAAAGACAGAACUAUGUCACAGGCCUGCAUUCUAACUGCAAGAGAGGCUGGCAGUUUGAGUUGUGACUACAAUGGGGAGGCAAGAAUGCUAUCAUGAGAUUUUCCCCCAUUAUAGAAAGGAUUGGCAAAGAUAGAGCCAAAGUUCCCUGUAGGAGAUGUGUACAGAAGGUCUGAUGAAAAUUCGAAGUCUUAUUCAGAACAAAAGGCCUAGAUAACCUUCCAGGGACCCUGGAAAGAAUGAUGCCUAGGAAGGUGGCUUCUGUCAUGAAGUGAUCACCAACCAUGGCAAUGUCAACUGGGGAAUGGCAAGGGGGAGUGCUGGGCAUAGGGUCCAGCUCCCAGGAAACUAGAAGGAGCCCAGGAAGCUAGAAGGCAAGCUUAUGUCAGCUUGGUCUUUUUAACAGGGCUCCACCCUGCCAAGAGAACAAGGCCUACAUGGGAAAUUAUGAAGAACACACACACGCAAAAAAAAAUCUGAGUUUGCUUUGUGUAGGGAUUUAAUUACUGACUUAUCCUGAUGCUUAUGUAUACUUGCAGCUUAGAAAAGUGAAGACAUCUUUCUGGGACAGUUCUGGGAAACAGAAGCCCAUGCGCACUAAAAGGAACCAAGGAAUGUUUUCCAUGUAUCCUGAGCUGGACACCAAACAAAUGUGUUCCUCUUUCUUUGCUCACUUAGAAGUCUUCUUCCUGUCCUGGGUUAAUUGACUUCAACUUUGAAGGAGAUGAUGUUUAUUUUCAUCUUCGAAUCUGACCUGAUACCAUUUAGAAAUUAUGAAUAAAUUUUAAUACAUUGGAACCCUAUGUUAAACCACAAUGCAUGAGUGGAUGAGUCACAAUUCCAAGACAGCUCAAUGCCCCACACAACUAAGACACAGAUGACUUUGGUGCUCCCCAAAUCACUUUCCCAUGAAGGGCAAGGUUCUCUCGGCAGGGUGGGGCAUGGUCAGAAAGGAGAACUUCAGCUUCUGCUUCAAAACAAGCUUCCAGGCUCAGAUGGGCCCUGCUGUCUCAAACACUGCUCUUCACCCUGCCACGCUUUGUCCUUGCUGGGCUCGCCAUCCUUCAAGGGCCCCCCUCCAGGAAGCUGCCCUCUCGUGGCAGGCAUCUUGCUGGUAGCUCCCAAUUAUUUUGUGAGAUGGGAUGCAGAACAGAGUUGCUUUGGAAGCCCUGGAGGGUAUUGAGGGUCUGACUUUUGGGCCGCAGGACCUCUGCAAAGCCUGAUUCCUUGAAGACAUCACUUUGACUUACUUGGUCCCAGAGCCUGUCUUGUUUUUAAUUUCCCUGCUAAGUUUCUGUUCUCCAGCAACAUAUAACCCCCUUUUUCUACUUCAGUAACCUCAGUGGUAGCUCUCACCAUGUUAAACAACGGUCUGAUUUGGCAUGGAAAAAAAGCAGUCAAUUGUUCCCUUUAAAUCUUAAUGUUUUCAGCCCUGGGAACAUUUGAAGUAACUAUUUAAUGAGAAGACUUCUGGUGAAGCAUAGGUAAGAUCUUAAAGGCUCUAAUUGCUCCCCAGAGAAAGCUGUCAGGGCUAAGUAACCUCAUUCAGGUUGUGUACGCAGAGCAGGGAGAGCAAAACAAGGCAGAAGUGAAGAGUGGAGGCUGAGGGGGCAGAAGUCACAGAGACUUCUCGAACCUGGAAGUAUUUCUGGAGUUGUGCCUUGCACUGUCUGUUUUGGGUACCUGCUGGCUGACUGCUAUGCCCCCAAAUGGUCAAACAAAUGACUUACUCUUUCCUGGGUCUAGUUGCCUUCUAAUUUGGAACUCAAAUUAUAGUUCUUUCUUCUCCUCUUUCAUUUAAAUACAAAGCAAAACAAAACAAAAUCUGAAACUAUUUUUCCUUCUAACCCCCACGUGAACUUUUUAUUCCUUUUAUUUUUAUUCAUUUGCUUAUUCACUGCACAAAUAUUCAUCAUGUUUCCCCGGGGUUUCAGGCACUGUCCUAGGCACUAGGGAUGCACCCUAUUGUUUAUGCAUUGUUGAUUUAGUGGCAAUAAGAUAAAUUUCUGCACAAGGGACAAGAUAACAGAUGCACACCCCAUCUGCUGCCAGGGGGCACCUCCUAAGCCAAUAUCCCCUGCCUCUAAGUUUGGGCUGUGUGAGGUAGAACAGGGGAGUUCUGCCAUACAAUAGUAAUGUUCACUGUGUGCCCAAGGCACGUGGAGAGUGAGGCACUUUGGAAAUUGGGCUCAAAAUGACUUCUUAUUUAACUGAAACAAAAAGCCCUUUGUGUGAGCCUUGCUCCCUCCAGUCCAUGGAGGCGGUCUGUUUGCUCUGACAGCAGCCCCGCAGUCCCUGAGCUGCCUCAGGUGAAAUGCUGCCUGGUUGCCAAUGGCCACACUGCUUGUGACCAUUACAGGGCCUAAGUGGGUUUGGGAGCCAUACGCUUGGAAUUAAGUAAGAAAAAUGGAGGCGAAAGCAGGGCACUCUGCAGCCUGUACUAUUCAGUCUUCUCUUGAUGUGACUGAGACUUAAAUUGGGAAGUAUUUGGCUGAUGGCGAGGUCAGAUAAACGUUACGGAUUUGAUGUAAUCCCAGACCUCAGACUUGAAACGGAGCUUGACCCUUCCCUUUGAGCACUUUUAUGCAAUGCUACUGGACAUGUAGUAACAAGAAAGGAAACAGAGGGAGGAUAUCGGUGCAGCCACGUGUUGAGUCUGGGAGAGAAAAUGACAGCGGGAGCAAGAUAGGAGAUGUGAAUCAAAUCAGGGGUUGAAACAGCAAAAGAGAAUUCCACAAAGUUAGAGCUAGUGACGGGGAUGAUAUUCCAUGAUACGAUUUUGGGGAAGGGGGCUAGGAAUGUCAUCUGGCUGUUUAGAAAUCCAGUAUAACCGUAUGGCCUGAAAUUCAAUGUAUAAUUAUUACAAAUUGCACUUAUGUGUCCUCGUAAGGCUAAGUGUGGGGGUGGGUGGAGCAGCUUUCACUUUGCCUGGUUUUCACACGGGGAAACUGAGGCACAGGAAGUUUCUAUGACUUGCUCGGGGUUGUACAACUGGUGGCUAAAUUUUGUAUAAAAUAUAGUGUGUGUAUCCUGUCUUUCCAUGGUGAUGAUGCCUUGAAUUUGUCAAGUACAUUUGCAUUUAUCAUCUCAUUGGAGCAGCCCAACAACCCUGCAGGAGGUGGAAUGUGUGAGAAAACCAAGGACCAGUGAACACUGAAAAUGGACUGGAAUUCCCAAUUCUUGGGCACUUUCUAUGUGCUUUGUGCCUUGCGCAUGCUGUCUCAAAAAAUACCAUCUUUUAAAGAUAUAAUUUAUCGCUCUUUUGGAGAUGGGGAGGCUGAAUUUUGGGAAGGGUAAGAGAUAUGCCCAAGAGCACCCAAUUGGUAAAUGGUAGACUUGAGAUGCAGCUCUAGGUGUAUGACCCUGAAGCCUGGGCUGUUCCAUGACAGCAGAUGACUCCUACCACCUGCUACCUGCCUGUGGACACCCGGCAGCCCAUCAGGGCAGAGUUGGCCUUAGAACUCCAUUUCUCCACUCCUAACGUUUCCACCAGACCAAGCAGCUUGCACAAUAACAGCUUUGUGGUGAAUAGCAGAAGUGUGGAAUCCGAGAGGCCUGAGUUUGGUUCUGGGUUCUUCUACAUGCUAGCAAAAGGUCUAGGGUAAUUCUUCGGUCUCUCACAGUGGUCCAGUUGCCACCUGUAUAAAAUAAAGAUGAAAACUCCCCCCUGGAAGGACUGUAAUGAGAAUUAGUGCGUGUAAACUGCUGACAGCUCUCAGGGUGUGGUGAGCGCUCAAGUAGUGAUGGGUGUAGGGAGGGACAGCUGGGCGCUUGUUUCCUGACUUGGUCUCUACAUGUUGCCCUGUCCUGUCUUUCUCAUUUCCACAGGUAGGCACACAGUUUCCUUUACUUAUUUUUGAGAAAGGGUCUUGUUCUAUCACCCAGGCUGGGGCAUAGU
rnacentral:lncRNA from 1 species